rnacentral:misc_RNA from 1 species
GAUGAAGAACGCAGCGAAAUGCUAUAAGUAAUGUGAAUUGCAGAAUUCAGUGAAUCAUCGAAUCUUUGAACGCACCUUGCACCCUUUGGCAUUCUGAAGGGUAUGCUCGUUUGAGUGUCAUUGUACUCUCACACUCCCGAUCUUUGCAUUGGGAGCAGUGGACUUGGGUUUGCUGCUUCACCGUCGCUUACCUCAAAUAGGUUAGUGCAACUCUUGGUUGGACAUAGUACGGCGUGAUAAGUGUUCUUCGCCGGUGCCUCGCAAAGAGGGUGGCCGAUCGGGAUGUUGUGCUCCAAACCGUCUUCGGACAAUCUCUGACGACUUGACCUCAAAUCGAGUAAGACUACCCGCUGAACUUAAGCAUAUCAAUAAGCGGAGGA